GUUGGAGAAUUGAGGGGGGUUGUUUUUAGUAUGAGAGGAUUGGAGUGGAUGUAUUAUUGGUGUUUGGGUUGUUAUGUUAAUGGUAUUGUUUGGUAGUUAAAUGUGGAAGAGAUAAGUGUUGAAAGUAUUUAAGUAUGAAAUUUGUUUUGAGAUGAGUUUUUUUUGAGAUUUUAAGUUUUUUGAAGGAAUGUUGAAGAUGAUGAUGUUGAUAGGUUGGGUGUGUAAGUGUAGU
rnacentral:rRNA from 1 species